ACACAUCACCUGGCAGGGAAGACACAAUGACCAGGAAGGUUUUCCCGGGGUCAGGCUCAUCCAGUGCACUCUGGUUGUGCUGAUCCUGCAGUCUCUCCAAAUGCAGCAAACUCAACUGCGGAAUUUGUGGUAGUGGGGGGCCAUGUUCCUGCUCUUCCC